rnacentral:lncRNA from 1 species
GGUUUACGCCGCAUGUUAUUACAGUGAAAGCUGGCGAGGUAAAUCGUGAAUGCGGUUCCUUCAAGUGUAAUUUGUCUGGGAGCUGUGUAAUUUGGCUCAUUGAUUAGUCUGUCUUGUUCGUGAUUUUUUUGCAUUGAAUUUGAGAAGAAAGAAAUAUUGAUCACUUUUAAGGAAAUAGCUCCUUUUUAUUGUCUUUGGCUCAUCUGGUUUAUACGAAGCUCAAUUAAGGAAAUAGAAAAGUUAUCUUAAGUGAGUGUGUAACUUAAAAAUCGAUUUCCUAAGUUGAACUGAGCCUUGCUGUCAAAUGCAAAUUCGAGGAGAAGUUUUGUUGGGAGCCCUGGAAAACGAUCACGUCAUUGACUAAUAAAUGAGCUAGAAAUGCUAAUGAGCUGUUUCCUUAUAUUUACGAAAGGUGGGAUACAAUAUGUAAAUUAGCGCAUGGUCCCAUUGCCUGGAGUGCUAGCAUCCUAAAUGACGUUUUUAUGCACAAAAUCUAUUAAAUAUGAAAUAUUAUUUCUCACCUACCGGACACUCUAAAUUGGUUCUGCAUUUCAAAGAUUUAUGCAUGUGAUGUUUUAAACUAAACUUUGAUCAUCCUACAUCACAAUGUCAAUUGAUUGAACUUUUCUGCUUCUCAACUGACUUAAUUUUUGAGGGUUGAAUUGGAUUUGCAUUACAUGUUUCCUAGUUGCAACCUGUGCCUUUAGGAAAUGAAUUUUUGAGUAUGUUUAAAGAGCCCCAAAGUAGUGAUGGUGUUAUCCUAUUCCAGUUGAUAUCAAUUAAUGAGAUUCAAGCUACAUCUCUACAGAGACAUUGACCGUGUAGAGACAAAGCUUUUGUUCUUCAAUUCGUAUUACCUAUGUUUCUAUGUGCACACUACAUCGUCGGCAGAAUAAGGAGGGGAACAAAACAUGCACCAUGUAUAUGGAAAAUAUUUUACACGCCUUGAAAAUUAUUUAAAGUACUUAAAGUUGUACAUCUUACUAAUGUGAUCUAAAACUAUCUCUGGUAUACUUAUGAACACGGUUUUUGGCAACAUGAAGUUUGGUAAAAUAAUUAAUGCGAAAUUUGUCCUUUUGUUUUUAGUUCCCAAGGAAAAAACGGUUUUCGUUGUACUUGCCUGUAAAAUCGGUUCGCUGAAUCUCAUUGUUCUUGUUAUUUAUUGCUGCAUAAUUGCUAAUGUCCAACUUGACUAAAGAACUUUGAACGCCUUAUGCUUCUUAAACAUAAUUAUCAAAAUCUUGAGAAGACAGUUUUGCAAUUUAUUCCUGCUUAAGUUUCUUCUGUAUCAACUUGUAUUUUUAAAUGAGUUUAUCAUAGUAAUGGUUUAUUUUCAAUAUAUGUUGAAAUUAAUUUAUCUUUUGUUGAUUUUAAUUGUGUCUUGCAGGAUAUAGCAUCGAAGAUCAUGGCUUUUUCACAGCAAGGGCCACGUACUGUUUGUAUCCUAUCUGCAAAUGGUGCCAUCUGCAAUGUGACCCUCAGACAACCAGCAAUGUCUGGUGGCACUGUGACAUAUGAAGUGAGUGUGUUAAUCAAUUUCUAGGCUCCCAUGAUAACAUGUUUUACUGCUGUGCAUGUACCUUUGUGGCUGGAUGCAUGUACAGAAGGUCAUAAUUGCGCCAACUGUUGUGAUUGGGAUAUUAUCAGUUUCUAAUUUGUGGACAAUGGAGUCUAUUUUAGCAGGUUGUUGACAUUAUGAUGCAAAUUCAUAUUUGAUAUUAUUCCUAUCUACCAAGAAUAAGUGCAGUUUUUUAUGUAGUUUUCUUUAUUGUUGUAAUAUGGGUUCCCCAGUGUUAUUGUACGUAGUAUGCUUAUGAAGUUUCGAGCUUUACUACUUGUUCUCCAUUACAGUGUUUUCUUUCCUGUUUUGUACUGAUUUUCUUGUGUUUAUAGAGGUGGGAUGUAGAGUCCUCGAGUAUCAUGGGUUUGAUGGUCCUUUUACUGUUAGAGGCCUUUGUUUAUACUUGAACUUGGCUUUUGAUGUCAGACUCAAGUAUCAAGAGAGAAAAAUGAGGAAAUUUCUCAAUUUUAGAGUUUAUUACAUGAAUUACUGCAGUCCUUGGAGAUGCCAACCUUUUGUUUUUUGACUUCUCAGAAAGUACUUGGAACUUAACUAUCGUGGAGUUGAUAUUCAGUAUUAUGCAGCAACAGCAGCAGAACCCCCCGCGAUUCCCGUUUAACUCGUCGAUGGUGAGUUCGUCCGGGCCCGGGCCCGGGCCGAAGCCGUUUUCAGACUAUGUAGAUGGUGGUGGGCAGUCGUCGCCGACCACUGGCGGUGGUAGUGGGCCUGGGGGUGGGUUUAACAUUGAACCUGCUAAGAAGAAGAGAGGCAGGCCGAGGAAGUAUUCGCCUGAUGGGGCUGGUAGUAGCAUUGCUCUGGGGCUUUCGCCCACCCCUGUUACUCCGAUUUCCUCCGCCUCUGUCGUGGGCCUCGCGGAUUCUGGUGGCGGCGGCGGUGGCGGGACCCUUUCAUCCGAGACUCCAGCUAAGAAGCACCGUGGCCGUCCCCCUGGCUCUGGAAAGAGACAGCUUGAUGCUUUAGGUGAUUUUUUAAUUACCCCUCUUCAUAUUACUCUGAUCAUUGGACUAAACCUCUUAUAGUUAUGAUGAUAGUUGUAGUUCUGAGCUUCUUCUGUUUAUUUCUUGCUAAAAGUUACAUUUUUAGAGUAUAAUGGAGUAAAAUUAUGAUUGUGGGGUUGGUAUUGUGGUUGGCAGGAGCUGCAGGAGUUGGGUUUACGCCGCAUGUUAUUACAGUGAAAGCUGGCGAGGUAAAUCGUGAAUGCGGUUCCUUCAAGUGUAAUUUGUCUGGGAGCUGUGUAAUUUGGCUCAUUGAUUAGUCUGUCUUGUUCGUGAUUUUUUUGCAUUGAAUUUGAGAAGAAAGAAAUAUUGAUCACUUUUAAGGAAAUAGCUCCUUUUUAUUGUCUUUGGCUCAUCUGGUUUAUACGAAGCUCAAUUAAGGAAAUAGAAAAGUUAUCUUAAGUGAGUGUGUAACUUAAAAAUCGAUUUCCUAAGUUGAACUGAGCCUUGCUGUCAAAUGCAAAUUCGAGGAGAAGUUUUGUUGGAGCCCUGGAAACGAUCACGUCAUUGACUAAUAAAUGAGCUAGAAAUGCUAAUGAGCUGUUUCCUUAUAUUUACGAAAGGUGGGAUACAAUAUGUAAAUUAGCGCAUGGUCCCAUUGCCUGGAGUGCUAGCAUCCUAAAUGACGUUUUUAUGCACAAAAUCUAUUAAAUAUGAAAUAUUAUUUCUCACCUACCGGACACUCUAAAUUGGUUCUGCAUUUCAAAGAUUUAUGCAUGUGAUGUUUUAAACUAAACUUUGAUCAUCCUACAUCACAAUGUCAAUUGAUUGAACUUUUCUGCUUCUCAACUGACUUAAUUUUUGAGGGUUGAAUUGGAUUUGCAUUACAUGUUUCCUAGUUGCAACCUGUGCCUUUAGGAAAUGAAUUUUUGAGUAUGUUUAAAGAGCCCCAAAGUAGUGAUGGUGUUAUCCUA